rnacentral:rRNA from 1 species
UGGCUCAGGAUGAACGCUAGCGGCAGGCUUAACACAUGCAAGUCGAGGGGUAGAGUUCUUCGGAGCUUGAGACCGGCGCACGGGUGCGUAACGCGUAUGCAAUCUACCUUUUACAGAGGGAUAGCCCAGAGAAAUUUGGAUUAAUACCUCAUAGUAUAAUUGAAUGGCAUCAUUUAAUUAUUAAAGUCACAACGGUAAAAGAUGAGCAUGCGUCCCAUUAGCUAGUUGGUAAGGUAACGGCUUACCAAGGCUACGAUGGGUAGGGGUCCUGAGAGGGAGAUCCCCCACACUGGUACUGAGACACGGACCAGACUCCUACGGGAGGCAGCAGUGAGGAAUAUUGGACAAUGGGCGCAAGCCUGAUCCAGCCAUGCCGCGUGCAGGAUGACGGUCCUAUGGAUUGUAAACUGCUUUUGUACAGGAAGAAACACUGGUUCGUGAACCAGCUUGACGGUACUGUAAG